rnacentral:lncRNA from 1 species
GGCUGGGUCACGUACCUAAACUUGUGACCAGGGGUCUCUAGUUUUAGAAAUGGAAACCCCUUUCACAACCACGAUGUUGGAGAGGGAAGCAGCUACCUCAAAAGAAGGGAAUGAACGGUUGAGACCAGACAAUAUAAUAAGUGGCCACUCUCUGGUAGAGAAAGACUUUGGAGGAAACCCAUCAGGCAUCCAGAACCCACAGCUCUGCCAUCAGAACUCCAUCCUGGGAACAGAAGCCGUCUAUCUGCAUCUGUAAACAUGGCCUCAUGUAGUGACGUGCAGGGAAAUGAGUGUGCCCUUGCAAUGGUAAAUCCACGGGAACCUUCUCAGUGCAGUGGUAAUACAGAGUAUAAAGUAGCCCUCCUUACUCUUAAGAGGAAAUUUUGCCUCUUCACCUUUCCAAAAGAAAUGACGAGAAAUCAUUACUUCCUGUGUUAAGCAAAUGCCUCGAAAUCAUCUCAGAGUUCCCCCGUGAGUGAUCCUAGUUUUGAAGAGACUAUUCUCAACCCACCUGUCAAUUAUGUCAGUGUAAAGGCAUCCAGAACAUCUGUCCUGAAUUUUCCCGGACUGCACCUGGACUUCAAAAUGAUGGAAGGUGGUGAUCUAACUGUGCAGAAAACAUUGUGAAACAGGCCACAUUCUCAAACUGGUUUGAGAAACUUUUAGAAUAAAAUGUGUCUGGCUAGGUUUAUUCAGCCUUAGUUAUUACUCUUUGUGUAUACACAAGGAUUUCAAACCAUCAAUAAAUGACUGCAAGU